rnacentral:rRNA from 1 species
UGGGGAAUAUUGCACAAUGGGCGCAAGCCUGAUGCAGCGAUGCCGCGUGAGGGAAGAAGGUUUUCGGAUUGUAAACCUCUGUCAUCAGGGACGAAAAAAGACGGUACCUGAGAAGGAAGCUCCGGCUAACUACGUGCCAGCAGCCGCGGUAAUACGUAGGUGGCAAGCGUUGUCCGGAAUUACUGGGUGUAAAGGGAGAGUAGGCGGGAUUGCAAGUCCGUUGUUAAAUCUAUCGGCUUAACCGGUAGCUGCGGCGGAAACUGUAGUUCUUGAGUGAAGUAGAGGCAGGCGGAAUUCCUAGUGUAGCGGUGAAAUGCGUAGAUAUUAGGAGGAACACCAGUGGCGAAGGCGGCCUGCUGGGCUUUAACUGACGCUGAGGCUCGAAAGUGUGGGGAGCAAGCAGGAUUAGAUACCCUGGUAGU